rfam:Asian citrus Psyllid, Diaphorina citri - Florida Strain, whole genome shotgun sequence.
GCCAGCGGCGACAAUACACCAGUUCCCAAUAAAUCAUUCAAGUUAAUCAACGUAGCGCGUGGUUAGUAUCCGGAUCGGUGACCAUCUGGACAACCGCGUGCUGCUCGCU